rnacentral:lncRNA from 1 species
ACAAUGCUCUAAAUUAGCAUCAUAAUCAUAACCAUCAAGUUAAGCUUAAUUUUUGCUUGCUAUUUCAUUUUUCAUUUGUAGACUCAAAUCAUCUUAUCUACCUUCUAUUAAAGAACCAGAAAAGAAAAGGAAAGAUCUAUUUUCAGUAGUCCCAGAUCAACCAAAUCAUGAAAAAGAAUUAAACAAGAUAAGGAAUCAGCUCUGUCAGGAGGAAGAGCAACGCAACUCUGAACAGGAGCAGAUGAGGAGUGAGAUCUCUGACCUAACACAGGCACUUCAUCAGAAGGAGAUCACCAUAGCAACCAUCAUGAAGAAAGCUGCCCUCCUGGAAAGACAGUUAAAGAUGGAAUUAGAAAUAAAAGAAUAAAUGUUAGCAAAGCAACAGGUCUCAGAUAUGAGAUAUAAAGCUGUCAGAACAGAAAACACGCAUCUAAAAGGAAUGAUGGGAGAUUUAGACCCUGGACGGUACAUGGUUAUCACAGCCUCCACUGAGCCUACUUCACUGAUUCCUACAGACUUUGACUUUGCUCAUUUAUUAUUUAAAGCGACAUUUUUGUUUAAGAUAGCUAUUCAAGGGAGUUCAUUAUGAAAUUUACAUGUAUAUGUGUAUUAUAAUCAAACUGGUUCAUCCCCUCCAUUUUUCUUUUCACCUUAGUCCCCUUAUAGUUAUUUCAAAAGGAUUAAAAAUCCAUUUUCAUUCUUGUAUAGAAAGUACAUCAACCAUUUCACCUUCUUUACCUCCUUCUUUUAUUCUCCCUCUCCCAUUACCGACCUCCCAUUAGCAUGACCUGUUUUUCAUUCUUGUCCUUCAUUGUUCAGUGGGACUUUUGCCUUGGUAUUUUAUACCACACCUGGCUUGUUCUUUUCUUCUUUUCACCCUCCCUUAUUCUCUUCUAACAGUCCCACUUUUGG